rnacentral:rRNA from 1 species
UACGAAGGGGGCUAGCGUUGCUCGGAAUCACUGGGCGUAAAGGGUGCGUAGGCGGGUCUUUAAGUCAGGGGUGAAAUCCUGGAGCUCAACUCCAGAGCUGCCUUUGAUACUGAAGAUCUUGAGUUCGGGAGAGGUGAGUGGAACUGCGAGUGUAGAGGUGAAAUUCGUAGAUAUUCGCAAGAACACCAGUGGCGAAGGCGGCUCACUGGCCCGAUACUGACGCUGAUGCACGAAAGCGUGGGGAGCAAACAGG